UUUGCUUCCUUUUAUGAAGAGAAGAAGAAGAAGAAGAAGAAGAAGAAGAAGCUGAAGCUUGAGAGCUUGCUUCUUUGCUUCUUCUCAGAGAGACAGCGAAAGAGAGAGAGAGAGAGAGAGACAGCCAUGGAUGCCUACGAAGCCACGAGGGUGGUGCUCUCCAGGAUCCAAGCUUUGGAUCCAGAGAACGCCGCCAAGAUCAUGGGUUUCAUCUUGAUUCAAGAUUAUGGCGAGAAGGAGAUGAUCAGGCUUGCUUUUGGCCCUGAAUCUCUCCUUCAAUCCAUCGUCCUUAAAGCUCGUAUUCAUCUCGGGAUUAUCCCUCCUUCUUCUUCUUCUUCGCAGGUUCUUCUUUCUCGUCAGAACUCAUCUUCUACUCUUCUAUCUCCUCCGCCGCCGUUGACAGUGAGUUCGCCGUCGUGGGUACCGCCGGCGAGCCCGUUCUCCAAGGUCAACACUUGUUCUGAUGAGCUUCAGAGCCCGGACGGUUGUGCAGGUGGAGAUCUUAUAGAUGAGGUCUCCUUUCUCAACGGUGAGCUCGGCUGGAACCAUCACCGGAGGAGCUUUUCAGUCGCCGACCUCGCCGUCGACGCCGCCGGUGGGUUUGGAUGGAGACCAUGCUUGUACUUCGCUAGAGGUUAUUGUAAAAACGGUACCAGCUGUAGAUUCCUUCAUGGAAUCCCAGACGACGCCGGAGCUAUGACGAAGUUGGAAUCUCCGGUGAAGAAUCAGAGAGCUUCUCAGCUCAUGGCUUCAGCUUUCCCUUACUCUCCGACGAGCAGCUCACCGAAAUCCAUGAGCUUUUUGUUUCAGCCCCAAAGUGAAAGCCCAAGGGUUUCGGCGAUGAGGAUUGAGUCCUUGGUCAACCCUGGAUCACGACAAAUCUAUUUAACUUUUCCGGCGGACAGCACGUUCAGAGAAGAAGAUGUUUCAAACUAUUUCAGUAUAUAUGGACCAGUGCAAGAUGUAAGGAUACCCUACCAACAAAAGAGGAUGUUUGGGUUUGUGACCUUUGUUUAUCCUGAGACAGUGAAGCUUAUCUUGGCCAAAGGAAAUCCUCACUUUGUUUGUGAUGCUAGAGUUCUUGUUAAGCCUUACAAAGAGAAAGGCAAAGUCCCAGAUAAGUUCAGGAAAGACUCUAGAGAACCAUAUGAUUUACAGCACCUUGUGAGUCCAGGAAGUGGUAGGAUACUGUACAGUAGUGGUAGCAGUAAUAGUACACAAGAAGCACUUAUGAGAAGAAAACUAGAAGAGCAGCAACAAGCUAUUGAGCUUCAGCAAGCUAUUGAACUUCAAGGCAGGCGUUUUAUGGGUUUGCAAUUGCUUGACCUCAAAUCCAGAAGCUUUUCAUCUCAUUCCAAUCCUAUCAACCAACAACAACUUCCACAACUUGAAGAGAAGCAAGAAUCUAGUGGUGAAGUUGGCAUCAAUGAAUACUGUGAUUUCCAAGAAAGAAGUGAUGAGCAUAACCUUCCUGAUAACCCUUUUGCAUCUCCAACCAAAGACACACAUCUCAUGAACAUAGACACCAGCAACCAUCUCUUAACAACUUCUUUCAACUCUUGCUUCUUUCCAGUUCCAAGGGUAUCUUCUGGCCAUGGAGCAGUGGGAAUGUGAACAGAAAAGAAGAGGAGGAGAAGGAGAUGAAGAAGAAGAAGACUUAGUAAGAGAUAAUACAACAAGCACAACAACAAAGAAGAGGAAAAACAAUACACUAUGAGUCUUUUGCUUUACAUUAUAUAAAUCUUAGUAUAGACACCAAACUGAAACACAACCAGAAUGACAAAGUGAAGGAAAAGGGAAGGAAGAAAAAGCAGGAGCUAAGGGAUUAAUUUUCUCUAAUCCAAGUGUAGUAUGUCAACAAGAAAAAGAAAAAAAAAUAUAAAAGAAAGUGGAAUAUAUACAUAUAUAUAUAUAUAUUUCUCUACCA